rnacentral:misc_RNA from 1 species
UGAGCGGUCCGCCGCCCGCGACGUCGCGAGAAGUCCACUGAACCUUAUCAUUUAGAGGAAGGAGAAGUCGUAACAAGGUUUCCGUAGGUGAACCUGCGGAAGGAUCAUUGACCCGACCUAUCGACCGAACGACCCGUGAACAUGUUGUUUAACGACCCCGCGGGGGCGGAGCGGGCGCGAGCCCUCCACUCCGCUCUCGACGGGUCGGUGGGCCUCGUGAGGGAGCCUUUCCCUCCGCCCCGUGCCACACGCACGCGCGCGGGGGGGGGUCGUCUCGGGGGGGACCCUACCGAUCCAACAACGAACCCCGGCGCGGAAAGCGCCAAGGAAAACACAACGAAACAACGCCCUCCCGUCGCCCCGUCCGCGGGCGCGCGGGAAGGUGUGGUCGUUUAGCUCAUAAAAACGACUUUYGGCAAMGGAUAUUUAGGCYYYUGCAUUGAUGAAGAAAGUAGCAAAAUGCGAUACUUGGUKUGAAUUGCAGAAUUCCGUGAAUYAUYGAGUUUUUGAAAGCAAGUUGCGCCCGACGCCYUUAGGUUGAGGGCSCGCCUGCCUGGGGGUCAAGCACCCAUCGCCCCCUCCGCACCCCCCUGCCGAGCGAAAGCCAGGCGAGGGACCCGGAGCCGGGGCGGACGUUGUCCUCCCAUGGAACAUCGCGUCCGUGGUUGGUAUAAAAACCGGUCCCGCGGCGACGCACGCCACGACAAGCGGUGGUUUUGAAACUAUUCCUUUGUCGGGSGCGGCGCUUCGCCCAACGGGGCCCAUACGAAAGGCCCGAGAACCUCGAUCGCGACCCCAGGUCAGGCGGGAACACCCGCUGAGUUUAAGCAUAUCAAUAAGCGGAGGAAAAG